rnacentral:rRNA from 1 species
GAUGAACGCUGGCGGCGUGCCUAAUACAUGCAAGUAGAACGCUGAAGGAGGAGCUUGCUCUUCUGGAUGAGUUGCGAACGGGUGAGUAACGCGUAGGUAACCUGCCUGGUAGCGGGGGAUAACUAUUGGAAACGAUAGCUAAUACCGCAUGACAACAGUUAUUGCAUGAUAACUGUUUAAAAGGGGCAACUGCUCCACUACCAGAUGGACCUGCGUUGUAUUAGCUAGUUGGUGAGGUAACGGCUCACCAAGGCGACGAUACAUAGCCGACCUGAGAGGGUGAUCGGCCACACUGGGACUGAGAAACGGCCCAGACUCCUACGGGAGGCAGCAGUAGGGAAUCUUCGGAAAUGGACGGAAGUCUGACCGAGCAACGCCGCGUGAGUGAAGAAGGUUUUCGGAUCGUAAAGCUCUGUUGAAGAGAAGAACGAGUGUGAGAGUGGAAAGUUCACACUGUGACGGUAUCUUACCAGAAAGGGACGGCUAACUACGUG